UAUUCCAGUACCACCAUAAUGCGUUUGACAAAUGGGAUGACGCAGGAGGAUAGGAUGUGCGCACUAUUGGAUGUGCGUCUAAGCACUUAGGGUGUUAAGUAGGCAAAUCCGCUUAACAUUAAGCCUGAGGUGUGAUGGGGAGCCUAUUUUGGCGAAGUAUCUGAUUCCACGCUGCCAAGAAAAGUCUCUAUGGAGCAAAAUGGUGCCCGUACCGCAAACCGACACAGGUAGAUGAGGAGAGAAUCCUAAGGUCGUCGGAAGAAUUAUUGCUAAGGAACUCGGCAAAUUGACCCCGUAACUUAGGGAGAAGGGGUGCCUACGAGAGUAGGCCGCAGUGAAUAGGCUCAAGCAACUGUUUAUCAAAAACACAGGUCUCUGCUAAAGCGUAAGCUGAUGUAUAGGGGCUGACGCCUGCCCGGUGCUGGAAGGUUAAGGGGAAUAGUUAGCGCAAGCGAAGCUAUGAACUUAAGCCCCAGUAAACGGCGGCCGUAACUAUAACGGUCCUAAGGUAGCGAAAUUCCUUGUCGGGUAAGUUCCGACCCGCACGAAUGGCGUAAUGAUUUGAGCACUGUCUCGGCAAUAAAUCCGGUGAAAUUGUAGUGCAAGUGAAGAUGCUUGCUACCCGCGGUUGGACGGAAAGACCCCGUAGAGCUUUACUGUAGCUUAGCAUUGAAUUUCGGUAUUGUCUGUACAGGAUAGGUGGGAGACUUAGAAGCGAGGGCGUCAGCUUUCGUGGAGUCGGCCUUGGGAUACCACCCUGACAGUACUGGAAUUCUAACUGGAGGCCAUGAAUCUGGUCACAGGACAUUGCUAGGUGGGCAGUUUGACUGGGGCGGUCGCCUCCUAAAAGGUAACGGAGGCGCCCAAAGGUUCCCUCAGCGCGG
rnacentral:rRNA from 1 species